rnacentral:tRNA from 1 species
GCGUAGUGGUUAAGACGCCAGGCUAGCAAUCUGCAGGUUGUAGGUUCGAACCU